rnacentral:rRNA from 1 species
AGAGUUUGAUCCUGGCUCAGGAUGAACGCUGGCGGCGUGCUUAACACAUGCAAGUCGAACGGUGAACACGGAGCUUGCUCUGUGGGAUCAGUGGCGAACGGGUGAGUAACACGUGAGCAACCUGCCCCUGACUCUGGGAUAAGCGCUGGAAACGGCGUCUAAUACUGGAUAUGUGACGUGAUCGCAUGGUCUGCGUCUGGAAAGAAUUUCGGUUGGGGAUGGGCUCGCGGCCUAUCAGCUUGUUGGUGAGGUAAUGGCUCACCAAGGCGUCGACGGGUAGCCGGCCUGAGAGGGUGACCGGCCACACUGGGACUGAGACACGGCCCAGACUCCUACGGGAGGCAGCAGUGGGGAAUAUUGCACAAUGGGCGCAAGCCUGAUGCAGCAACGCCGCGUGAGGGACGACGGCCUUCGGGUUGUAAACCUCUUUUAGCAGGGAAGAAGCGAAAGUGACGGUACCUGCAGAAAAAGCGCCGGCUAGCUACGUGCCAGCAGCCGCGGUAAUACGUAGGGCGCAAGCGUUAUCCGGAAUUAUUGGGCGUAAAGAGCUCGUAGGCGGUUUGUCGCGUCUGCUGUGAAAUCCGGAGGCUCAACCUCCGGCCUGCAGUGGGUACGGGCAGACUAGAGUGCGGUAGGGGAGAUUGGAAUUCCUGGUGUAGCGGUGGAAUGCGCAGAUAUCAGGAGGAACACCGAUGGCGAAGGCAGAUCUCUGGGCCGUAACUGACGCUGAGGAGCGAAAGGGUGGGGAGCAAACAGGCUUAGAUACCCUGGUAGUCCAA